rnacentral:lncRNA from 1 species
AUUCCUAGGAAAAUAAUUCUGCCUGGGGAUGUUUAGAAGCCAGGAUGUCAAGGAUGGUGCUGAGGAUUGAGUGGUGUUAGGAAUAUAAAUCAGCUUUUUGGCUCUGACCUUUUCUUCUGAAGACACAUGCUUCCUGUGCAAAACACUGCGGGCCCAGCCUAGGUGCUGAGGUUGUUGGCCUUGCUGCUACAUAAGCUUCGGGGAGCUGUUUGCCUUUGCAUUAAGGAUGUCACAGAGGUUGUUUGCUGCUAUCCAGAGGAAACAUGCAGCUGAGCUCUGCAGUAAAUGGAAGUUGACUGUCCAGGUACUCUGCUGAGCACAUAACUGGCUGUACAUUCGGACUACCAUGGUGUCACAACUGCUUGACAAUGGUGAAAUCUCAUAAUGUUAAGGUAUAGUCUUAGCCAUGUGAUGAUUAACAAAUCAAUGGAUACUUUGGAACAGAGUCAUCUUUUCAUUUGUGGAUUAACUUCUACAAGCCAGAAAUGGCAGCAGGCACCCCUAAGUGAAGAAUUCAGUUGUGCCUGCAGUUUCCAGAGGAGUACACGGCUAAGGGAGAGUAAGACCUGCUAG